AUUGAACGCUGGCGGAAUGCUUUACACAUGCAAGUCGAGCGGCAGCGCGGGGCAACCUGGCGGCGAGCGGCGAACGGGUGAGUAACAUAUCGGAACGUACCCAGUCGUGGGGGAUAACUAUCCGAAAGGAUAGCUAAUACCGCAUACGACCUGAGGGUGAAAGCGGGGGACCGAAAGGCCUCGCGCGAUUGGAGCGGCCGAUAUCGGAUUAGCUAGUUGGUGAGGUAAAGGCUCACCAAGGCGACGAUCCGUAGCUGGUCUGAGAGGACGACCAGCCACACUGGAACUGAGACACGGUCCAGACUCCUACGGGAGGCAGCAGUGGGGAAUUUUGGACAAUGGGGGCAACCCUGAUCCAGCCAUUCCGCGUGAGUGAAGAAGGCCUUCGGG
rnacentral:rRNA from 1 species